UACGUAGGGGGCAAGCGUUGUCCGGAUUUAUUGGGCGUAAAGAGCGUGUAGGCGGCCUGACAAGUCUGCUGUGAAAACUCGAGGCUCAACCUCGAGAUGUCGGCGGAAACUGUCUGGCUAGAGUCCGGAAGAGGAGAGUGGAAUUCCUGGUGUAGCGGUGAAAUGCGCAGAUAUCAGGAGGAACACCGAUGGCGAAGGCAGGUCUCUGGGCAUUAACUGACGCUGAGGAGCGAAAGCAUGGGGAGCGAACAGG
rnacentral:rRNA from 1 species